UCUCCGUUGGUGAACCAGCGGAGGGAUCAUUACCGAGCUUACAACUCCCAAACCCCUGUGCACUUAUACCUUUACUGUUGCGUCGGCGGGUAUUCGCCCCGGAACAGGCCCGGGAGGGCCGGCCCGGAACCAGGCGCCCGCCGGGGGACCCAAACUCUUGUAUUUUUUCUUUGCAUGUUUGAGUGGAAUCAUACAAAAUGAAUCAAAGCUUUCAACAACGGAUCUCUUGGUUCUG
rnacentral:misc_RNA from 1 species